CCUACGGGUGGCAGCAGUGGGGAAUAUUGGGCAAUGGAGGCAACUCUGCCCCAGCAACGCCGCGUGAAUGAUGAAGGUCUUCGGAUGGUAAAGUUCUUUUCUAAGGGAAGACGAAAGUGACGGUACCUCAGGAAUAAGUCUCGGCUACCUACGUGCCAGCAGCCGCGGUAAUACGUAGGAGGCAAGCGUUACGCGGAAGGACUGGGCGUAAAGGGUGCGGAGGUGGUUUGACAAGUUAGUAGCGAAACUCCGGAGCUCAACUUCGGAACUCCUUAUGAAACUGUUGGACUGGAGUUUAGGAGGGGAGAGUGGAAGUCCUGGUGUAGCGGUGGAAGGCGUAGAUAUUAGGAGGAACACCAGUGGCGAAGGCGGAUAUCGAGACUGUAACUGACGCUGAGGCACGAAAGCGUGGGGAGCAAACAGGAUUAGAUACCCUUGUAGUC
rnacentral:rRNA from 1 species